UCCAUGUCACCUUCAGGGAGGAGGCAGAUAUGAACACGUGGUGGCAGUGUCAGGAGAUGACAGCUUGGGAACAAAAAGCAGUGCUUGCCAGUGGACCGGUGUGUGGGUGAGACCUGGGCAAGUCGGCACUUAGGCAGGAAGAGGUGAACAUUUUGUCCUGGGUCCUGCCGACCUGCUGGGCGCUCCCCCGAGGACAGGAGCGGGUACCUCAGAUGACUGCAGCAUCGCAGAGAGGGAACUUCCAACAUCCCUCUUCCGACCUCUGAUAAUGACUCUCUGCUGCAACCGAUCCAUCUAUUGCAAAGAGAAUUCCUUCUUUCUGAGGCUUCUCCAGUGAUGAGGGGUGAUGCCUGAGCAGCGUAUUUGCCUGUUAAGGGAUUUAUUUCAAAACCAACAUUAAAAAAUGUCUGGGUUCAGGGAUCUGAUUCCAAGGAUAAUCCCCAGGCUCAAAUAUUCCAUGUCCGCCAAAGAUAAUUUGCUGAUCCAGGAGCUGAGGCCAGCGAUUUUAUGUCUGCAUCUGCUUCUGCCCGUAACUUGUGGGCAGAGACGGGGCAGCCUCAAGAGCUGCAGCUCUCCGAGCCUGGGGAUGCCAAUGGCAGUGAGAUGGGCAUUUGUUUCCUGAACCUUCCCUCCCCUCAUCUACUGCUGGUGCUCUGUCUUGCAAAGUGACUGUGUGGUACUCUGGUCAUCCUGUCCUGUCAUUUUGGUGUGGCCUUCAGAUGGUGCUCCUAAGUGGGUAGGAAGAAGUUCAACUCUAUGGGCAGCCAUCUCGUCACCGUGAAACCCAAACCAACUCAUUAGGCUGGGACUGAGAAUUGCACUGGGAAGAGCUGUUAUUAACAGUGAGCCCCCAGAUUAGCCAUACCUGAAGCUAUUCUCCCAGAAUUUUCAGUUUAUGUAAACAGUAAACUCAGGCUGGGGCUGUAGCUCAGUGUUAGAGCCACUUGCCUAGCACAUGUGAGGCACUGGGUUUGUUCCUCAG